rnacentral:rRNA from 1 species
GUACAGUUCAGAGUUUGAUCCUGGCUCAGGACGAACGCUGGCGGCGUGCUUAACACAUGCAAGUCGAACGAUGAAGCCCAGCUUGCUGGGUGGAUUAGUGGCGAACGGGUGAGUAACACGUGAGUAACCUGCCCCCCUCUUCGGGAUAACCGCGAGAAAUCGUGUCUAAUACCGGAUAUGCACAUGUGCCCGCAUGGGUGUGUGUGGAAAGACUGUGUCGGUGGGGGAUGGGCUCGCGGCCUAUCAGCUUGUUGGUGGGGUGAUGGCCUACCAAGGCGACGACGGGUAGCCGGCCUGAGAGGGUGACCGGCCACACUGGGACUGAGACACGGCCCAG